rnacentral:rRNA from 1 species
AUGGAAAUCAAGCAACUAGAGGAUGAAAAAUUUGUGAAAGAGAGGGUGUCUGACCUGAAACGACAAGCAGAUGAAGCAUUCAAAAACCAGGAUUAUCUAAAUGCAUCAGUGCUCUACACACAGGCACUGAAGAUGGAUAACUUCGACGCCAAGUUGUUGUCAAACAGGAGUCUUUGCUGGCUUCGCAUUGGUGAUGGACAAAGGGCUUUUGAUGAUGCAACUAAAUGCAAAAGGCUGCGUCCAAAGUGGGCAAAGGCGCACUAUCGACAAGGAGCAGCUCUAAUGUUCAUGAAGAAGUAUGCUGCUGCGUAUUCCGCACUCUCACGCGCUUUAGAGUUGGACCCGGAAAGCGAAGAGACCGAGAAAUUAUUCUGGGAGGCGAUGGAACUUAAGUGA